rnacentral:tRNA from 3 species
CGGGGCGUAGCGCAGCCUGGUUAGCGCGACUGCUUUGGGAGCAGUAGGUCGUUGGUUCGAAUCCAAUCGCCCCGACCA